rnacentral:rRNA from 1 species
AUUGAACGCUGGCGGCAUGCCUUACACAUGCAAGUCGAACGGUAACAGGUCUUCGGAUGCUGACGAGUGGCGAACGGGUGAGUAAUACAUCGGAACGUGCCCGAUCGUGGGGGAUAACGAAGCGAAAGCUUUGCUAAUACCGCAUACGAUCUACGGAUGAAAGCAGGGGACCGCAAGGCCUUGCGCGACCGGAGCGGCCGAUGGCAGAUUAGGUAGUUGGUGGGAUAAAAGCUUACCAAGCCGACGAUCUGUAGCUGGUCUGAGAGGACGACCAGCCACACUGGGACUGAGACACGGCCCAGACUCCUACGGGAGGCAGCAGUGGGGAAUUUUGGACAAUGGGCGAAAGCCUGAUCCAGCCAUGCCGCGUGCAGGAUGAAGGCCUUCGGGUUGUAAACUGCUUUUGUACGGAACGAAAAGACUCUGGUUAAUACCUGGGGUCCAUGACGGUACCGUAAGAAUAAGCACCGGCUAACUACGUG